GAUGAAGAACGCAGCGAAAUGCGAUAAGUAAUGUGAAUUGCAGAAUUCAGUGAAUCAUCGAAUCUUUGAACGCACAUUGCGCCCCUUGGUAUUCCGGGGGGCAUGCCUGUUCGAGCGUCAUUAUCACCCCUCAAGCACGGCUUGUGUGUUGGGCCUCCGUCCUCCUCCCGGGGGACGGGCCCGAAAGGCAGCGGCGGCACCGCGUCCGGUCCUCGAGCGUAUGGGGCUUCGUCACCCGCUCUUGUAGGCCCGGCCGGCGCUUGCCGACACAUCAAUCUUUUUUCCAGGUUGACCUCGGAUCAGGUAGGGAUACCCGCUGAACUUAAGCAUAUCAAUAAGCGGAGGA
rnacentral:misc_RNA from 1 species